GGGACACGUGGUAUCCUGUCUGAAUAUGGGGGGACCAUCCUCCAAGGCUAAAUACUCCUGACUGACCGAUAGUGAACCAGUACCGUGAGGGAAAGGCGAAAAGAACCCCGGCGAGGGGAGUGAAAAAGAACCUGAAACCGUGUACGUACAAGCAGUGGGAGCACCUUCGGGUGUGACUGCGUACCUUUUGUAUAAUGGGUCAGCGACUUAUAUUCUGUAGCAAGGUUAACCGUAUAGGGGAGCCGCAGGGAAACCGAGUCUUAACUGGGCGUUAAGUUGCAGGGUAUAGACCCGAAACCCGGUGAUCUAGCCAUGGGCAGGUUGAAGGUUGGGUAACACUAACUGGAGGACCGAACCGACUAAUGUUGAAAAAUUAGCGGAUGACUUGUGGCUGGGGGUGAAAGGCCAAUCAAACCGGGAGAUAGCUGGUUCUCCCCGAAAGCUAUUUAGGUAGCGCCUCGUGAACUCAUCUUCGGGGGUAGAGCACUGUUUCGGCUAGGGGGUCAUCCCGACUUACCAACCCGAUGCAAACUACGAAUACCGAAGAAUGUUAUCACGGGAGACACACGGCGGGUGCUAACGUCCGUCGUGAAGAGGGAAACAACCCAGACCGCCAGCUAAGGUCCCAAAGUCAUGGUUAAGUGGGAAACGAUGUGGGAAGGCACAGACAGCCAGGAUGUUGGCUUAGAAGCAGCCAUCAUUUAAAGAAAGCGUAAUAGCUCACUGGUCGAGUCGGCCUGCGCGGAAGAUGUAACGGGGCUAAACCAUGCACCGAAGCUGCGGCAGCGACACUAUGUGUUGUUGGGUAGGGGAGCGUUCUGUAAGCCUGCGAAGGUGACCUGUGAGGG
rnacentral:rRNA from 1 species